AACGAACGCUGGCGGCAUGCCUUACACAUGCAAGUCGAACGGUAACAGGUCUUCGGAUGCUGACGAGUGGCGAACGGGUGAGUAAUACAUCGGAACGUGCCCGAUCGUGGGGGAUAACGAAGCGAAAGCUUUGCUAAUACCGCAUAAGAUCUACGGAUGAAAGCAGGGGACCGCAAGGCCUUGCGCGAACGGAGCGGCCGAUGGCAGAUUAGGUAGUUGGUGGGAUAAAAGCUUACCAAGCCGACGAUCUGUAGCCGGUCUGAGAGGACGACCAGCCACACUGGGACUGAGACACGGCCCAGACUCCUACGGGAGGCAGCAGUGGGGAAUUUUGGACAAUGGGCGAAAGCCUGAUCCAGCCAUGCCGCGUGCAGGAUGAAGGCCUUCGGGUUGUAAACUGCUUUUGUACGGAACGAAAAGACUCUUUCUAAUAAAGAGGGUCCAUGACGGUACCGUAAGAAUAAGCACCGGCUAACUACGUGCCAGCAGCCGCAGUAACAC
rnacentral:rRNA from 1 species